rnacentral:rRNA from 1 species
CUCGACUGCGACCYCAGGUCAGGCGGGAUUACCCG